GUUUGUUUGAUUAGGUUUGGAGCUAAUGGAUCUUAAAUUUGAUUUAAAACAUCCUGCAGAUACCCUAUAUUAAGAUAGUAUGCGUGAGAGUGCUGGGCAUGGAGUCAGGAAAAUCAUUCUUUUUCCUUGUCAUUGGUUAAUGAUGAAGCACCUAUGCCUCAAACUGAAUUAAAACUAAGGUUUGAUUAGUCUUCCAUCCAGUCUUUUUGUCUGUUUCUGGAUGAUUCCAUGCUUCAUUGAUAUGGAUUAUUCUGCUUUUCCUUGAGGUUUCGGUGCUUUGUUUUGUCUCUUACAAAAUUUAAGUGUGUGCAUGUUUCAGUUUUGCUUUUAGAGUAUAACAAGGUUAAAGUCACUAAAACACUGACAUGCUCAAAGCUAUAAUUUUGUUUUAGAAAGGGUAUAUUUCAUGUUGGCCAAAAAGCCCUCUGACCCCAGAGGGUUAAACAUUUUGUUGAUUCAUCAAAUUUGGAAAGGCAACUUAAAAUUCAAGAGCAAUUCAAGAGAAAAAUGUCUCUCUAAAUAAAAAGUGCACUAUAUACUACACACUAUAAACUGCACUAUGUAUGUACAUACUACAUCUACUGCAAUUCAAGGGAACUUGGCAUAAAAAUUUGUCAAAUAUACUAAUGUAGGUGAUGUACAUUUUCUUUUCUACUGUCAGUUGAUUUUCCCUUUGCACUUAUGCGCUCAACACAAUUUGUGCCAUUUGUAAGUUCCACGCAUUGCUUACAUUACUGCCUUGACACUUCAUUUCUCUGAAGAAUCUUUCCAUCUCACCCCAAACUGCCGUUAGAUGGCAGACCAUUUAGAAAAAUGAUGCAUAUGCCAGAAUACUUGCAAAUGGACUCUGACAGUAUACACCACAUGUGGUGCAACGUGUAUAUUAGGAGUGGAAAAAGAGCAAAGAUCUGGCAACCUCAUCUGGCUGGUCCUCCAUGUCUCUAUUGUGGUGUCAGUAUCCACUCUGAUGUCUGAUGGAAUAAACACUUAAGCUUUGGCCCUUAUUGCAUGUUUGAAGUGUGUCCUGGACGAAGGCUGCAUCAACGUGUACUUCACAAGCUGCUGAGUGCUCAUUCUCUUGUCGGCUGCAGUUGUACCCAAGCAACACUUUUGAGUUAAGUGUCAUCUUAUAGCUGUGUUCUACUGACCCUCGAGUCCUCUAGAGUUGACUAUGAGAGGAAAAGGUUUUGGUUGAACUACUGUGUACAUAGGAGUUGAAAAGCUGAGUUUUUGGAAGCUAUUUAUUUGAUAACCAUUCAAGAUGUUACAGUUUAUGGGUGGUUUGGACUUUGCCCCAUAAUUCUUUAUGGUAGCCAUUUUUAUAUGUGAUUUAAGCAGUAUUACAUUUAUUUGACUUUUUUUCUCCAUCGAGCUGUUUAAAAAUAUCAAUUUUCUAUUUAAUUGUAAUCUUCAUUUCAACAUCCUGUAUGCUGAUUUUUAAAAUCCCAUGAUGAAUCUUUUUACCCCCUUUUUAACUCUUAAGUUCAGUGGCUGCAUGGAAACAUCUUAAAAUAAUAAAUGUUUUAUGAUUGGGCCCUUUGUAGUGAAUUAAAUGCA